rnacentral:rRNA from 1 species
UGAGUUUGAUUCUGGCUCAGGACGAACGCUGGCGGCGUGCUUAACACAUGCAAGUCGAGCGAUUCAUCUGUUUAACACUGAGCACUUAAAAAGAAAAAGAAACUUAAGUAUUGAGUGUUAAACAGAUGGAUAGCGGCGGACGGGUGAGUAACGCGUGGGAAACCUGCCCUAUACAGGGGGAUAGCCUCGGGAAACCGGGAUUAAUACCCCAUAAAACUUUAUUAUCGCAUGAUAAAAAAGUCAAAGUGAUUAGCGGUAUAGGAUGGUCCCGCGUCCCAUUNNCUGGUUGGUGAGGUAAAAGCUCACCAAGGCAACGAUGGGUNGCCGGCCUGAGAGGGUGAACGGCCACACUGGAACUGAGACACGGUCCAGNCUCCUACGGGAGGCAGCAGUGGGGAAUAUUGCACAAUGGGCGAAAGCCUGAUGCAGCGACGCCGCGUGAGCGA